AAUGGAAAAGGUCCCAGAGGAGUCCCAAGAAGAAGACACUGCAUGGAUGUUGCUGAAGAGUCCUGCUGGAAUCUACCACCAAGUCUGCAGGUGCUGAGACUCCUUAAGGCUGAAGGGGCAGGACUACUGCCCCAGCCGGCACCUAACCGGGAGGCCCCACAGAGGAUCUCAGCUGCUUCUGCUGAUUGGAGAUAUUUGCCGGACAGCUGAAAGGCUGGAGACUUGAGUUCACAGUAUGCCUGCAAUAAACAGCAAUUGCUCAUCCUCAUCCUCCCUUCCCUAUUUCUCAUCUUCACUCCUUUGCUCUUACCUUUCUCCUGGCAGUGGGCUCAGUUUGGGAAAAUCUAACUGGGGAAACUCAAGAGAGGCGUGUAAACCAAACACCCGGCAAUUACACCAUCUAGGUUCCCAGACAGUACUUCCUGACCCGAAGAAGGACCCAACAACCGACAGCAAAUCCCCACCCCACUUGGGUCCCCAGCUCGAGUCUCGAGUCCGCGGUCGGGGCCUCCUCCUCCCCCUCCCCCCAGAGACGUCUCACCUCCCACCGUGGACUUGUAGUGUUUGCUGAAGCUGUCCUGGGAAUAUCGCUGCACCAGCGACGUCUUGCCCACUGCGGCGUCCCCCACCACCAGCACUUUGAACAGGUGGUCGCGGCUGCCCAUGGCUAGCGGGUUGUGCGUUUUAGGGAGGCGGGAAGUGGGUGGGGGGGGGGGGUCGCUUGUUUUAACCCCUUUGGCUCCGGACCCUCUUCAAA